rnacentral:rRNA from 1 species
AUCUACAGCCAUGCUACCCUGAACAAGCCCAAACCCGUCUGAUCUCGGAAGCUAAGCAGACUCAGGCCUGGUUGGUACCUGGACGAGAGACCACCUAGGAAGACAAGGUGCUGUAGGCA